CUACGGGACGCAGCAGUGGGGAAUAUUGCACAAUGGAGGAAACUCUGAUGCAGCAACGCCGCGUGGAGGAUGACACUUUUCGGAGCGUAAACUCCUUUUAUAUAGGAAGAAGAUGACGGUACUAUAUGAAUAAGCGCCGGCUAACUCCGUGCCAGCAGCCGCGGUAAUACGGAGGGCGCAAGCGUUACUCGGAAUCACUGGGCGUAAAGAGCGUGUAGGCGGAUUAAAAAGUCAGAAGUGAAAUCCUAUAGCUUAACUAUAGAACUGCUUCUGAAACUCUUAAUCUAGAAUAUGGGAGAGGUAGAUGGAAUUUCUGGUGUAGGGGUAAAAUCCGUAGAGAUCAGAAGGAAUACCGAUUGCGAAGGCGAUCUACUAGAACAUUAUUGGCGUUGAGACGCGAAAGCGUGGGGAGCAAACAGGAUUAGAUACCCGCGUAGUC
rnacentral:rRNA from 1 species